UACGUAGGGGGCAAGCGUUGUCCGGAAUCAUUGGGCGUAAAGAGCGUGUAGGUGGCUCGGUAAGUCCGCUGUGAAAGUCCAGGGCUCAACCCUGGAAAGCCGGUGGAAACUGUCGAGCUCGAGUCCGGAAGAGGCGAGUGGAAUUCCUGGUGUAGCGGUGAAAUGCGCAGAUAUCAGGAGGAACACCAAUGGCGAAGGCAGCUCGCUGGGACGGUACUGACACUGAGACGCGAAAGCGUGGGGAGCAAACAGGAUUAGAU
rnacentral:rRNA from 1 species